UGUAACCUUCAAACAUGGGAUUUACAUUUCAUUAUUUUGUAGCAUAUAUUCUCAUUUUAUUAAUACUACUGUAUUAUUUUAUUAUUGAAAAAUAAUAAUUAAUUACUUAAUAUGGAGAUUAUAUAUAUAUAUAUAUAUAUAUACACAUCGCGCGCACACACACGUAUUCAUCGAUAAUCACGAUACAAAGAAUGUAAUAUUUGAAGAUUUAAAGGACAAUAAUAUGCAAAAUAAUGAUUGUGCUGGAUUAAUUUCUUUUUUUUAUUAUUAUUGUAUUUUAUUUAUUCAUUUUCUUUUUUGGUUAACGAGUAAUUCAUUUGUGUGAUAAUUAGCUAGAAUAUAAUGUUUUAAAAUUCAUGUAAAGAAUAAAUAUGUUCUGUGCUGCUAGAAAUGUUACCUAAUAAAGUUCUAAUAGUUUAACAAAUUUAUUGAAAAAGAUAGAAAACGAUUAAGUUUCAGGUUUGUUACGUCCUUUAAAUGAAUGUUAUAGUUUGUAUGUGUAAAAUAUUGACAAUGUAUCAUUUAACUACUCACUUGGAGAAAAAUUGAAUUGUUUAUAAAAUAUGCAUAAACUUGCAAGUACAAAACCAGUAAGAGAAUAAAGGCGAAGAAGGAAUAAUUAAGAUUGUACGCAAAACGUUGACAUAUGAGAGUAAUCGUUAAGGUUGCAGAGAGAUAUACAUACCUCGUUGUGUAAAAUUUUAACCUUAUUUGUGAAAGUAUUAUCAUUGUUUUUACAUUCUUUAUUCUUUUUUUAAUUUUUUUGUCUUGUCUUUUUUCUUUUAUACUUGUAUCAUGCAGAAGAUUUGCGACUUGUUAGUAGUAAAGUUAUAUUUACAAUCAUUUGUAUAUACGCCCUUGUCGAACGCUUUACAUUGUUUUUUUAAUUUAACACCAUAAUUUCAGGAUUGUUUCAUCUGAAUUAUUAUUUUACAAUCACGUGAUUGUAACCGUCACGUCUCAUAAUUAAUAAAUUGUGAGUUAUCAAAUGUAAUCAAUUUUUUCGACAAUUCACGUUAUUUAGGAUCAAUAAAAUGUUAAUGGCCAAUAAACUGGACCAAAUAGUUUGUGCCAAAGAACAAUUGGAAUCUAAGAAAAUACAUAAUUAUCACGACUGGUGGUUUAGAGAUGAUGUUGUUGGAUACUGCAUUAAUUGAAUACUGCAGUAUAUAAGGCUUAAGAACGAAUCGAUGGAGCUGUUGUAUUUUACAUAUUAUAGGCUAUUGAUAAUAGUUGUAGCGCAUAAAAUGUUACCUGCUAUAGGAGGUGUCCCAUGUAAGAAGCAGAAGUAGAUACUAUUACUAAUGCGAUGCAUCGGUUUUAUCUUGAUUGAAAUUUUAACGGUACUACACGCUAAUCUUAGCCUCGAAAUUUUGGAAAGAUUUUUCUUAGUAAUUUGGGAGAUAAUGUCUGAAACACUUUUUCAGUUAGUUCAUAAUAAUCUGGAAAAAAGAAGACGACGUUCAUUCUACUUUAAUCUACACCAGAUACUUCAUACAGUCAUUAAAUUUUACAUUAUUGGUACGGAUGAGACAUGGAAUGUGGAGGUUUAAGAGAAUAUUGAAGAACAUCAAAAUACUUUUCAUACACUUACUUCAAUAAUUUACAAGUUUGAUAAUUUUCCAAUUAUUUAGACGAUCUUUAAUGCAAAACAAUAAACAAAUACUGAAACAAUUGUAAAUUCGCCGAAUCUUUUCAUA